GGUGGAGGCAGCAGCGCUCGCUUCUCCGGCUGUCCAUUGAUCAGUGGAGAGGUUGGUAUAGACUUAAAAGAUCAGUGGAGAGACUGGUGGAGAGCAGAGAGAGAGGGAUGGAGAGGAUGGAGGAGGAUACUGGGGAUGCAGCAAGAAAAGAGUGUGUGGAGAGACAGAAUCCGAGAGGCAGAUCACGGCGUCUGUCCUGGGGUUUAACAGCCUGGAUGAAGCCCGCUGGACUCCUGACAGACUUCAAACAGCAGAUGGACACUCCAGGAAAGGCGUCGGAAAGUCCUCCAUCGUCCAUCUGUGACAGUCACAAUGGUUGCGCAAAGGACGGCCAUCUUGGUUUCAGCGCAGGAGCAGAGGGAGUGUACGAAGCUUAAAGGCAAUAAGGAAGAUUGGAAGAAAAAAGGCAGUUUAGCUUCUUUGCCACAUGCACCUAAACCUUUAAAUGCUCUUUUUUAAUCUGUAAAUAUUAAUUAAUCCGAUGCUUUAAUACUACAUCUUGCAAGCAAUAUGUUUAGCUCUGUGAGGCUGUACUUACAUCCUGCAGUGCUAUGAGCGAAAUGCUAACCACAAUACUGACAUGCUUAGCAAUAAUUAAAGAUAAGAUAAAAAUAAAUUAGUCCCUGUGGGGAAAUGUAGGUUUAUCUUUUUAGUUCAACUCAUCAGCAAGCUAACAAUUGCUUAUAAGCACCUAAACAUAAACUGUAGCUGAGAACAACACAAGCUGUAGGUAAGAUCAAUGCAUCAGCAUGCUAAUGUUUACUAAUAGCACCAAAUAGUAUUUUUAGCAGUUUAACUGAAGCCAUGAAGAGCUUAUCGACUGCAAAAUACUUUUAAAUUGUUUUAACGACCAUCAUUUACAGCUGUGUUUUCCAACAUAUUUGGCUGGUGAGCACUUAUAAUAAAGUAAUCUACUGGACAGUGUCACAUAUUUGGCAAAACAUGUAUGGGUCAAAGUGCAAGUGGGAAAGGGGCUUGUCAACUGGGUAGCUAGCAAUCUUCCUCUUCUUAUGUCAAAGACUGUUUAUGGUUAAAUAAACACCUAUUUGACGUUUUUUGUAUCUAAACUAUAUAUUAAAAUCCACAUCCUCACCUGCAUCAAUAGCCAACACUGCUGACACCUGGGGGACCAGCUUGCUUGUCAUAUUCCAGGAAGAGGAACUGUUUAAUUUCGGACCAAUUGCUGUUAUGAUUUGACUUUCCCCCCACGAUAUCAUCACUUUUAAACUCGGGUAUGUGUGUUGGAUGUAAUGUUUAGCGGUCACUUAAUAGUAACCACAUGUGUGUCAAGUGUCGUUCUAAAACAACGAGGAUGGAGGGAGAGCGAGGGGUAGCGGGUUAUGAAGCCCGCCAACAGCGAGUCUCCAUCGGUCCUGAAUUCACCUGCUGCUGCCCUACCUGACCGGACUCAACGCUGUGUGUGUCCGUCAGGAAACACGCUGUUUACAAAUAGUUCCGUGUAAACAUUUACUGAUAAACCGCACAACAAGAUAGACAUUUAAUAUCGACAUUGUAGUGCCGAGAGACGGGAGUCGGAGUGAAUUAUGUCAAUCAGUGAUCACUUCAACAUACAGAUGUAAUUUAAAUAACUUCAAUGUUACCUCGUAUUUUUUAACUUCAUAUACCCGUGUUUUAUCUAGAUAACGAUAAAUGUGUGCAAUUUAUUAUAACGUUUUGUAUGGUUACAGGGACUGUUGCAAAUCUAAGCAGCUAAUUAACAUCAUAUUAUUAUUAUUUUUAAAGAAACGCCAUUAAAUAUGUUUUUCACUCACGGAGGGGGAAUGGGUAGGGUGUGGUUUGGAAUUGGCCCGAAGUGUUUCUCUUCUAAACUUGCUGUCUUGAAUGAUAUGUACCUGCCAGGUGGCCAUUUUGGCUCCGUGUGGUCACAGGGUGCCCAGCAGUUGCUCAGUAGUCAGUGUAGAUCCUGCGGGGCUGGCAGCAGCUACAUCUGGCUACUGGGUCUCUGCUGGCAUCCAUCACAUCCACUGUUUAUUAAUGCAUUCUGUAAAGACAUGAGUGUUUUUCAUGUAUUUCAGACACUUCGGCUUUUGAUUUCCACAGAAAUGUGUUGCAUGUGAAGACUGCAUAUGAAGAAAUGUUAUUAUGAAUAUAUAUUAAAAUGACAUUUUGAGACACUGGGUGAGGUUUGAACCUGGCAUACAGUGUAGGAUGCUGUGUGUGUCAGUCUACAGCUACAUUGUCUGCUGGGUUUCAUACCUUUACUCAUAAACAUCGAUGUUUUACAAGUGUUUGUAUUGCUUAUGUACUGUAAAUGAUACCAAAUGAUCAUGUUAAAGUAUUGUGUUGUGUUUGAGGAACCAAAAAACACGGAUAAUUUGACAACUUUGUGUUUAUUGACUCAUCAUAAAACAUUCUUCAAACAAUAAAACAAUUUUAAAUGUC